rnacentral:rRNA from 1 species
CACGUAGGGGGCAAGCGUUGUCCGGAUUUAUUGGGCGUAAAGAGCUCGUAGGCGGCUCAGUAAGUCAGGUGUGAAACCUCCAGGCUCAACCUGGAGACGCCACCUGAUACUGCUGUGGCUAGAGUCCGGUAGGGGAGCGUGGAAUUCCUGGUGUAGCGGUGAAAUGCGCAGAUAUCAGGAGGAACACCAGCGGCGAAGGCGGCGCUCUGGGCCGGAACUGACGCUGAGGCACGAAGGCCAGGGGAGCAAACGGG